UACGAAGGGGGCUAGCGUUGCUCGGAAUCACUGGGCGUAAAGCGCACGUAGGCGGACUCUUAAGUCGGGGGGUGAAAUCCUGGAGCUCAACUCCAGAACUGCCUUCGAUACUGGGAGUCUUGAGUUCGGGGAGAGGUGAGUGGAACUGCGAGUGUAGAGGUGAAAUUCGUAGAUAUUCGCAUGAACACCAGUGGCGAAGGCGGCUCACUGGCCCGAUACUGACGCUGAGGCACGAAAGCGUGGGGGAGCAAACAGG
rnacentral:rRNA from 1 species